CCAGACUCCUACGGGAGGCAGCAGUAGGGAAUAUUGCACAAUGGGGGAAACCCUGAUGCAGCGACGCCGCGUGAGUGAAGAAGUAUUUCGGUAUGUAAAGCUCUAUCAGCAGGGAAGAAAAUGACGGUACCUGACUAAGAAGCCCCGGCUAACUACGUGCCAGCAGCCGCGGUAAUACGUAGGGGGCAAGCGUUAUCCGGAUUUACUGGGUGUAAAGGGAGCGUAGACGGCAUGGCAAGUCAGAUGUGAAAGCCCGGGGCUCAACCCCGGGACUGCAUUUGAAACUGUCAGGCUGGAGCGCAGGAGAGGUAAGUGGAAUUCCUAGUGUAGCGGUGAAAUGCGUAGAUAUUAGGAGGAACACCAGUGGCGAAGGCGGCUUACUGGACUGUAACUGACGUUGAGGCUCGAAAGCGUGGGGAGCAAACAGGAUUAGAUACCCGAGUA
rnacentral:rRNA from 1 species